rnacentral:rRNA from 1 species
CACGUAGGGGGCGAGCGUUGUCCGGAAUCAUUGGGCGUAAAGAGCUCGUAGGCGGCUCAGUAAGUCGGGUGUGAAACCCCCAGGCUCAACCUGGGGACGCCACUCGAUACUGCUGUGGCUAGAGUCCAGUAGAGGAGUGUGGAAUUCCCGGUGUAGCGGUGAAAUGCGCAGAUAUCGGGAGGAACACCAACGGCGAAGGCAGCACUCUGGGCUGGAACGUGACGCUGAGGAGCGAAAGCGUGGGUAGCAAACGAG